CUGAUGGAGAGUUUGAUCCUGGCUCAGGAUGAACGCUGGCGGCGUGCUUAACACAUGCAAGUCGAACGAUGAAGGGGUGC
rnacentral:rRNA from 1 species